AAAACAUCGCCUUUUGAAAAUAAAUAAAAGGUCUAGUCUGCCCACUGAAAAUUUUAAAGGGCCGCGGUAUUUUGACCGUGCAAAGGUAGCAUAAUCAUUAGUCUUCUAAUUAGAGGCUCGUAUGAAUGGCUGGAUGAGGUAUUAGCUGUCUCUUAAAGAUAAAAUAAAAUUUAACUUUUUAGUCAAAAGGCUAAAAUAAUAUUAAAGGACGAGAAGACCCUAUAGAGCUUUAUAUUAAAUUAAUUUAUUUUAUUUAGUAGUAAUUAAAUUUAAUUAUGAUAAUAUUUCGUUGGGGUGACGGGGAGAAAAUUUUAACUCUCUUUUUAAAUUAAACAUAAAUGAAUGAAUAAAUGAUCCAUUAUUAAUGAUUAUAAGAUAAAGUUACCUUAGGGAUAACAGCGUAAUCUUCUUCAAGAGUUCUAAUCGACAAGAAGGGUUGCGACCUCGAUGUUGGAUUAAGGGUUAUUUUUGGGUGUAGAAGUUCAAAGUUUGGGUCUGUUCGACCCUUGAAUCCUUA
rnacentral:rRNA from 1 species